GGUAAGGCACCUUCGGGUGUACACGAGUGGCGCACGGGUGAGUAACGCGUGGGUAAUCUACCCUCAGGUCGGGGACAACUUCGGGAAACUGGAGCUAAUACCGGAUGAGCCCACGAGGCCUUCGGGCUUCGCGGGAAAAGAUGGCCUCUCCUUGGAAGCUAUCGCCAGGGGAUGAGCCCGCGUCCCAUUAGCUAGUUGGUGAGGUAACGGCUCACCAAGGUGACGAUGGGUAGCUGGUCUGAGAGGAUGAUCAGCCACACUGGAACUGAGACACGGUCCAGACUCUUACGGGAGGCAGCAGUCGGGAAUUUUGGGCAAUGGGCGAAAGCCUGACCCAGCAACGCCGCGUGAGGGAUGAAGGCCCUCGGGUCGUAAACCUCUGUCGGGAGGGAAGAACGUUCUCCGGACGAAUAAUCCGGGGGGCUGACGGUACCUCCAAAGGAAGCACCGGCUAACUCCGUGCCAGCAGCCGCGGUAAUACGGAGGGUGCGAGCGUUGUUCGGAAUUAUUGGGCGUAAAGCGCGUGUAGGCGGCUUGGUAAGUCGGGUGUGAAAGCCCGGGGCCCAACCCCGGAAUUGCAUUCGAUACUGCCUCGCUAGAGUNCCGGAGAGGAGAGCGGAAUUCCCGGUGUAGAGGUGAAAUUCGUAGAUAUCGGGAGGAACACCAGCGGCGAAGGCGGCUCUCUGGACGGUGACUGACGCUGAGACGCGAAAGCUGGGGGAGCAAACAGGAUUAGAUACCC
rnacentral:rRNA from 1 species